AUUGAACGCUGGCGGCAGGCCUAACACAUGCAGGUCGAGCGGAUGAAGGGAGCUUGCUCCUGGAUUCAGCGGCGGACGGGUGAGUAAUGCCUAGGAAUCUGCCUGGUAGUGGGGGAUAACGUCCAGAAACGGGCGCUAAUACCGCAUACGUCCUGAGGGAGAAAGUGGGGGAUCUUCGGACCUCACGCUAUCAGAUGAGCCUAGGUCGGAUUAGCUAGUUGGUGGGGUAAAGGCCUACCAAGGCGACGAUCCGUAACUGGUCUGAGAGGAUGAUCAGUCACACUGGAACUGAGACACGGUCCAGACUCCUACGGGAGGCAGCAGUGGGGAAUAUUGGACAAUGGGCGAAAGCCUGAUCCAGCCAUGCCGCGUGUGUGAAGAAGGUCUUCGGAUUGUAAAGCACUUUAAGUUGGGAGGAAGGGCAGUAAGUUAAUACCUUGCUGUUUUGACGUUACCAACAGAAUAAGCACCGGCUAACUUCGUG
rnacentral:rRNA from 1 species